rnacentral:rRNA from 1 species
GAUGAACGCUGGCGGCGUGCUUAACACAUGCAAGUCGAGCGAAGCGAUUUAAAUGAGACUUCGGUGGAUUUUAAAUUGACUGAGCGGCGGACGGGUGAGUAACGCGUAUCCAACCUGCCCACCACUUGGGGAUAACCUUGCGAAAGUAAGACUAAUACCCAAUGACGUCUCUAGAAGACAUCUGAAAGAGAUUAAAGAUUUAUCGGUGAUGGAUGGGGAUGCGUCUGAUUAGCUUGUUGGCGGGGUAACGGCCCACCAAGGCAACGAUCAGUAGGGGUUCUGAGAGGAAGGUCCCCCACAUUGGAACUGAGACACGGUCCAAACUCCUACGGGAGGCAGCAGUGAGGAAUAUUGGUCAAAUGGACGAGAGUCUGAACCAGCCAAGUAGCGUGCAGGAUGACGGCCCUAUGGGUUGUAAACUGCUUUAUAAGGGAAUAAAGUGAGUCUCGUGAGACUUUUUGCAUGUACCUUAUGAAUAAGGACCGGCUAAUUCCGUGCCAG